CUAGAACAAAAUUCAAACAAGAUGCUCUGACAUUAGCUUGCAUUUCACAACCCAUAUAAACUCAUUCACAUAUGGAAUAAUUUUCUCCUAAACUUAUGUCAUAUUAUUAAAAAAAAAACUAUAAAUAUAUACAUGAUAUGUAUGAAAUCAUUGACUGACCUAAGGGGGCCCGCUCCAGUCAUGCUCCAGUGAUUCCCUAUAUAAUCAACAACUUUUCCCCACAAAAGGGGGGCCCAGGGCCCCAAAGGGCGCCCCUGGAUCUGCUUAUGCUUUGUGUAGGAAAAUGUAUAAAUAUUUGUAUUUUUUCUAUGGUUCAAGUAAAAUUUUUCAAAUUUAUGAGACAAGAUUCUUAAUGAUGAUCUCAUGUAAAUAAUCAUAUAGAUUGUGUUAUCAAAUUAUUGAGAAAUAUAAAAUUUGACUAGUAAAAAUG
rnacentral:lncRNA from 1 species